GAUAUAUUUAUGGAUCGUGAGCCCUUCUGUGAAGAAGCACCAAGUACCAACUCUUUGUUGUCUAUGGCCUCUGGAGACAGUCAUCACUUGUUCGUGUUCUUUAUAGGAGAGUUGGGGUGUGGCACCUUCAUCCUCAUGGAAACAGCUCUGUUUAACAACAGUCUCCCUGGAUUUCUGAAAAUGGAACAAUUUAGCUCUCAAGCACUGGCAGGAGGGAGGCGACUCUGGGACACCCACAAGUCUCACAGAGUGUGGUUGUGAAGAUUAAGUCACGACUCAUGUGCAACCAAAGCCUGACACAGAGGAAUCACUGCUUUCUGGAUAGUUAUCCACAUUAAUAAGAAUAAGGGGAAGUGGGAGGGAGGAGAAAAAAGAAGUUGGUGAAAGUCGUUCAGUUGUGUCUGACUCUUUGCAACCCCAUGGACUAUAGCCCACCAGGCUCCUCUGUCCAUGGGAUUUCCCAGGGAAGAGUACUGGAGUGGGUUGCCAUUCCCAUCUCCAGGGAAUCCUCAGACAGAUUGUUCACCAGCCGAGUCACCAGAGAAACCCGAAGAAGCUGGCACUUGGAGGUAAUUGGGACCAUCUUCAGCAGGGAAGCUUCCAUGGAAGAAGGCUAGUGACCCCUUACCCUCAGGUAUCAGAACAUCACAAGGUGGCCUCCUCAUUCAGCUUCCAGGAACUGCUCUGGAAAUUCCCCAGAUGUCACAUACAGCAAGGCCAAGGACCACCUGAUGCAAAGAACUGACUCAUUAGAAAAGACCCUGAUGCUGGGAAAGACUGAAGGCAGGAGGAGAAGGGGACGACAGAGGAUGAGAUGGUUGGAUGGCCUCACCAGCUCGAUGGACAUGAGUUUGAGCAAGCUCUGGGAGCUGGUGAUGGACAGGGAGGCCUAGCGUGCUGCAGUCCAUAGGGUCGCAAGGAGUCAGACACUACUGAGGGACUGAACUGAAGGACCACAUCCCAAAGCUGAAUAGAAGUGAUCUCUGCAUUACUCUUCAUUACCCAAUUCACUGUUCUCGAGUUGAAUCUGAGCAGAUGUGCACAACCAGCUUUCUUUUCACCAAGGUAGACCCUGGGUGAUUAAAGGACGAUGACAAGGAUAAAAGCAGGGAGCUUUUCUCCCUGGGUGAAGUGUAGCUAAUAUGAACACCUGCUUCAUGGGAUUGUCGUGAGGAUGAAUUGAACUAAUCCAUGUAAAGUGAUUAGUCCAAGAAAUGUUUGCCAUGGCACUUAUUGUGCUUGUCAGACCCGAGGAAACCUAGUCUAAUGGUGUAGGUGUUUGGCAACUGUUUAGAAACAGUGAUUAAGUGUCUGACAAGCUUUUAUCCUCUAUGUAUUGUGAACUUGAGAGAUGCCAACACCCUCCCCCUCCGCCUCAACUUCCUCCUGCUUUUUUCUCACUGUAUUAAUUAGUAGAAAUAAAAUUCCCCAGGGGCUUCCCUGGUGGCUCAGUUGGUAAAGAAUCCACCUGCAAUGUAGGACACCUGAGUUUGAUCCCUGGGUCAGGAAGACCCCCUGGAGAAGGAAAUGGCAACACACUCCAGUAUUCUACCUGGGAAAUCCCAUGGACAAAGGAGGCUGGCAGACCCCCUGAUAGUCCAUGGGGUUGGAAGAGUCACACACAACUUAGCCACUAAACCGCCACCACCAAAAGUUCCCCAACCUAGAUCUAGAUCCAAGGAUUCAGGAGUAUUCAAUGGGACAUUCACAGAGUUGAACAUGAUCCACUACUGCCCACCCAUCCCCAGCCUAUCUUGCAAAACACCUUUGAAGACUGGUCUUCUGUUGAUCCAAGAUAAACUUUGAAAAAGGCUUUCCAGUGUACAAGACACAACUAUGCCCAGUUAUAUACAGCCACCAAUAAAUUUUAUUUGUUUUUA